GAUGAACGCUGGCGGCGUGCCUAAUACAUGCAAGUCGAGCGAACGGACGAGAAGCUUGCUUCUCUGAUGUUAGCGGCGGACGGGUGAGUAACACGUGGAUAACCUACCUAUAAGACUGGGAUAACUUCGGGAAACCGUAGCUAAUACCGGAUAAUAUUUUGAACCGCAUGGUUCAAAAGUGAAAGACGGUCUUGCUGUCACUUAUAGAUGGAUCCGCGCUGCAUUAGCUAGUUGGUAAGGUAACGGCUUACCAAGGCAACGAUGCAUAGCCGACCUGAGAGGGUGACCGGCCACACUGGAACUGAGACACGGUCCAGACUCCUACGGGAGGCAGCAGUAGGGAAUCUUCCGCAAUGGGCGAAAGCCUGACGGAGCAACGCCGCGUGAGUGAUGAAGGUCUUCGGAUCGUAAAACUCUGUUAUUAGGGAAGAACAGAUGUGUAAGUAACUGUGCACAUCUUGACGGUACCUAAUCAGAAAGCCACGGCUAACUACGUG
rnacentral:rRNA from 1 species